rnacentral:sRNA from 1 species
AGUUUAUUAUGAUGACAUAGAUAGUUAAACUGUAUUACAAAAUUGAAUGUGUCAGAUAGAAUUUUAUUU